CUGGAGGUAUCAGAAGUGCGAAUGCUGACAUAAGUAACGAUAAAGCGGGUGAAAAGCCCGCUCGCCGGAAGACCAAGGGUUCCUGUCCAACGUUAAUCGGGGCAGGGUGAGUCGACCCCUAAGGCGAGGCCGAAAGGCGUAGUCGAUGGGAAACAGGUUAAUAUUCCUGUACUUGGUGUUACUGCGAAGGGGGGACGGAGAAGGCUAUGUUGGCCGGGCGACGGUUGUCCCGGUUUAAGCGUGUAGGCUGGUUUUCCAGGCAAAUCCGGAAAAUCAAGGCUGAGGCGUGAUGACGAGGCACUACGGUGCUGAAGCAACAAAUGCCCUGCUUCCAGGAAAAGCCUCUAAGCAUCAGGUAACAUCAAAUCGUACCCCAAACCGACACAGGUGGUCAGGUAGAGAAUACCAAGGCGCUUGAGAGAACUCGGGUGAAGGAACUAGGCAAAAUGGUG
rnacentral:rRNA from 1 species